UAAACAUUGACAGUUAAUUACACCCACUGUCCGCCUUGGACUUACGAGCACCAGCUUAAAACCCAAAGGACUUGGCGGUGCUUUAGACCCACCUAGAGGAGCCUGUUCUAGAACCGAUAAUCCCCGUUAAACCUCACCCUUCCUUGCCAUUUCCGCCUAUAUACCACCGUCGCCAGCUUACCCUGUGAAGGCCCCAUAGUAAGCACAAUCGGCACAGCCCAGAACGUCAGGUCGAGGUGUAGCGAAUGGAAGGGGAAGAAAUGGGCUACAUUUACUAACACAGUAAAUACGGAUGAUCACCCUGAAACGAGUAUCUGAAGGAGGAUUUAGCAGUAAGCAAAAAAUAGAGUGUUUUGCUGAAGUUGGC
rnacentral:rRNA from 1 species